rfam:Euryarchaeota archaeon RBG_16_68_12 RBG_16_scaffold_2656, whole genome shotgun sequence.
GCGGCGGUAGCCAAGCAUGGUCAAAGGCGUCAGAUUCAGGGUCUGAUCUCGCAGGAGUCCCCAGGUUCAAAUCCUGGCCGCCGCA